AACUGCGCUAACACGAGGUCGCUCCUUGGUGAGCCACAGAUGGAAAGUGCACCAGGUAUAGUUGUCACACGAAGACAAAUUUAUUUGCAGCAAAUAAGGAGAUCACAGGGAAUGACUUCCAAAGCCAUGAUCCCCUGAACAUGGGUCAUACAAGGAGGUAGAGCUUACCUGAUCAUCUCUCUGGACAGUCAUCCUUGGAACCCUGCCAGUAUGUUGUGAGGAAAGAAGCUCAGGUCACAUGGAAAGACCACAUGCAAAUGUUCUGGCCACCAGCCCAGGAUGAGGUAUAAAUCAAUAGUCAGAAUCAAACACCAGAUCUGAGUGAAUAAUGCUUCAGCAAAAUCAGUCUUUGGACCCGUCCGGCUGAAGCCGAAUAGAACAGAGAAAAGCUGAUGACUGCCAAGCUCUGACCAACUUGCAGAUCAUGAUAAAAAUGAAUUCAAGAAUGGGCUUGGAAGAUAUGGGAAGCAUAGAAGUUGGAUGUUCCAGUUCUGAUUUGGCUUUAAAUGAAAGAGGAAAAGGAGAGAAAAACAUCUUAGAUGCUAUCACACUGGUAAAAUUGACCUGGUUUUUGCUUUUCUCCAGUUGCAUUAUUAUGCAUUAAAAAAAAAAAAAAACAACUCUGUUUCUACCUUCUCACUAACUGUCAAUUCCUUCCUUCCAAUUAUCCAGGCGAAUAUCUUAAGGUUAUUCUUGAAAUCUUCCUUUCCUUUAGGUGUGAAUCCAUUUAAUCAACAAAUAUGAGCUCUACUUUCAAAAUCUAUCCAGAAUCUGACUACUUUAUAUCAACCAACAAUGCUAUCACCCUCACCUAAAUUAUCAUCGUCUCUUGUUAGUCUCUUUGAUUCCAUUCUUGUCCUGUGGAGGCUUGGCUUCAUAUAAUGUCCAGUAAAGUAAAACCAUGUCAUUCCUCUGCUUAAAACUUCAAUGGCACUCUAUCUCACUCAGAAUAAAGUACUAAAUAUUUACCACACUAGGGUCUGCACAAACAUACUGGCUGAGCUAUUUGACCCUGAACAUGAAUUGCUCCUUCGUAACUAGGGUAGGAAGAAGUAUGUCUAAAAUUCAAGGGAAAAUAUAAUAAGAAUGGAAAGAGAAGUGUAGAUGUACUAAGCAAAGUUUUACAGACAGAAAUCCCAGCUCAAUCUAAAAAAGCUAGCCUACAGAGUACAUCACAUCUUAGAAUUGUCUAAGUCAAGGUGUAAGAGAGAAUUCAUACCCUCAUAACAAAAUUAUUGUUCAAGAGUUGUGCCUGGAGAGACAUAAGUUUUUUUUUUUUAACAUUUAUUUAUUUUUUGAGAGACAGAGAAAGACAGAGCAGGAGCCGGGGAGGGGCAGAGAGAAAGAAGACACAGAAUCCAAAACAGGCUUUAGGCUCUCAGCUGUCAGCACAGAUCCCAAUGUGGGGCUUGAACUCAUGAACCAUGAGAUCAUGACCUGAGCCAAAGUCGGACACUUAACUGACUGAGCCACCCAGGCACCCCGAGACAUAAGUUUUAAGGUGGUUCCCACUCUAUCUGUGUGAGUAAAAUAAACUCAACAUUCUGUGGACAGCCUCAUGGGCAAGAGAUGCAGGUUUUGACUCUUGGAAUCAGAGUGAAUGAACUGGUUGAUUUCAGGGAAUGUGUGUAAAAUACAAACAAUGUCUUAUACAAUCCAUUCAUUUCAGUGGUGAGAUCCAUGCAAUCCUCACAUUAAACUUAUCGUACUGAUUCCUCAAGAAGGUGCUUGGCAAUACUUAUAGAAAAAAAAAAGAAUUCUCAAAAGAAAGAUCAGCAGGUUGAGCUACAGCUGCCACUGCUGUAAUUGGUCUUGAGGCUUAGGUAAUAUUCAUCAUCUGCCUCUUUUCUCUCACUCUUGGCCAACAUUUCUCCUGUUGUGGGCUAAUGAAAUAGGUGACAGAUCUUUAUACCUCAAGAGACUGAGCCCUUAUUUGGCUAGGGUCUGUUCAUGGUUAAAACAAAGUUUGAGAUCACCAAGGAUGCUGUAGUAUGUCUCUAGAGGCUUGGGUAUACUACUUUCUGCUACUUUGUGUAGAAGCAAUUCUACUUCCUCACAAUGAUUAGAGCCCAUUACCAUUGCCAAUAGGGUAACAUUCUUGUGUGCAAGUCUACUGGCAUGAGGAACUCAAAAUGCCAGGUAGAAGUCAUAAUUUUGGAACUCUAGAUCUGCCAAAUGUAAAAUUGCAAGGGCAAGAGGCACAGAUUCUCUAAAUGGUUCACUGGGAAUGAUGGCGAGAGGGGUUACUUCUGCUUCCAUCCCAUCAUUUCUGGACUCACAUAAUCUAAGUAUCAGAGACUCAGGACAAAAUGGCCAUUAGCUAAAAAGUAUAUACCAUAUCAGAAAUCAAUUCUCCAAAGCAGCAAGGUAUUAUUUGCAAGCUGGAGCCUCAGGCAUGCCUUUGAGUGGUCAUUGCAGCAUUAUAUUAGACCGUCAGGCUUUGUGUUGUAUAGAAAAUAGUAAGGCUAAUUAUCCUUUGGGCCAUGCUCAAUGUUAUGAUCAUUUUUCUGCAAAAUGUGUCCUUUUAUCUGAAGAAAUAUCAUACAAGAUAAAGUGUCAGUAAAUCAGACACACUGUAAGCCUUUAAAUACUGACCAAGACACUAAGGGCAGGAAAGGAAAACACAUACCAACACAUGUGUUCAUUACUGCCUAUUCCAGGGUGGAUGAAAUCUGAUGUAAUCAUCUUGCUAUCAAGUAGUUGAUUAAUCUUGAGAACUGAUAGCAUUUCAAGAGCUGAGCAUCAAACACUUUUGCUGACAAGUCAGACAUUUAACAGCAAUAGUGGCUAUUUCAGACCUGUUAGAAUAAGCCCAUACUAUAGACUCAUUUAUAGCUAACAUCUCUUUUACCAUGAUUAGUCCAUUUAUGGGUCUACUUUGUGAGCACUGGCACAGAUAAGUACAGAGGGUAGUUGACAUACUGGAUGAAUCAUCCUGCCCACAAGCUUAUUAAUGCCUCCUAUGCAAAGUAUUCUCUAGUUGACAUUAAUGUGGGCUACAAAAAUCUACACACCAUGAGUCCAUUCAUAUGUCUUUCUCUAGAUUUCCUCUUCAGUCUUGCUCUUUCCAAGCUACUGAUCAAUUGGCCCAGCCAUUUACAACUGGUCAGGAAUCUGGGUAUGUCCUUACAACAGGCCACUUCUUUCUUUAUGUGAGAGAGAAGAGUAGAUGCGCUACACAAACUCGGACCACUGGGACGAUUUUUUUCUUGCCACUGUCUUUCAGGAUUCCUUAUGCAGAGGACUAGCAAGAUCCUCUUGGACUCUACCAUGACAUACAGCAGGAAAGUUUAAGUAUCAUUGAUCAAGCCUGGAAUGGAUAUUAAUUACUGUCUUCCCUAGCUGUAAAUAUAUCCAUCCCAUUAAAAAUUCCAAGUUUAGGAAAUGACCACAUA